GCAUCAAUGGGGUAGUGGUAACCUGGGUCGUUGCCAUUUGAUACCUUCUGUUUCGACCCGCCGGGGGUUCGAUUCCCUCUUGAUGCA